UCUUCCCAAGGGAUUGUUGAAGAAACUUCUGAAGAGGGAAACUCUGUACCUGCUUCACAAAGUGUUGCUGCUUUGACCAGUAAGAGAAGCUUAGUCCUUAUGCCAGAGAGUUCUGCAGAAGAAAUCACUGUUUGUCCUGAGACCCAGCUAAGUUCCUCUGAAACUUUUGACCUUGAAAGAGAAGUCUCUCCAGGUAGCAGAGAUAUCUUGGAUGGAGUCAGAAUAAUAAUGGCAGAUAAGGAG
rnacentral:circRNA from 1 species